UGCGGAAGGAUCAUUGUCGAACCCUGCAUAGCAGAAUGACCUGUGAACAAGUAAAAAAAACUGGCAUUGUGAGGAUAGAAGCUUUUGUUUUGAUCCUUGCAAAGCUUUGUCGACGUGUGUUUAUGUUUGCCCUUACAGGGCAUCAUGAAUGUCAGGUUGACACAACAACCCCCCGGCACGAAACGUGCCAAGGAUAACAAAACUCAAAGGGCCUAUGCAAUGUCGCCCUGCUUUGUGGUGUGCGCAUUGUGUGUGGCUACUUUGUGAAUCUAAACGACUCUCGGCAACGGAUAUCUCGGCUCACGCAUCGAUGAAGAACGUAGCAAAAUGCGAUACUUGGUGUGAAUUGCAGAAUCCCGUGAACCAUCGAGUUUUUGAACGCAAGUUGCGCCCGAAGCCAUCCGGUUGAGGGCACGCCUGCCUGGGCGUCACGCAUCACGUCGUCCUCACCAAAAGUCCAUUUGAUUGGUGUUUUGGAUUGGGGGGAUACUGGUCUCCUGUGCUUUUGGCGUGGUUGGCCUAAAAAAGAGUGUUCUCAUAAGGGAUGCACGACUAGUGGUGGUUGAUAAGACAGUCGUCUCGUGUUGUGUUAUCCUUCUUGAGUGAUUAUACUUCUAAAAUACCUUAACGCGUUGUCUUGUGAUGAUGCUUUGAUCGAGACCCCAGGUCAGGCGGGACUACCCGCUGAGUUUAA
rnacentral:rRNA from 1 species